UUCAAGAUAGUUGAUUUAAAGUCCUUAAUAUGACACCCAAUAUGAAAUAUUAAGGCUAGGACCCAACAAACUAUUUUAUAACUUAGAAGAGGUAUGCCGUAAUCCAAGCUAUAAAAUAUUUGAAGGUAGGUGAAUGACGAUUCACCAAUUUCCACCAAGAUAAACGAAAUGUAUUAUUAGGUUUUAAUUGGUUUUGAAACUCCUAGAUCUUUGAGAUUCAUUGAACUUUUCAAAGGCAUGUUUCAAUCUCGAGUGUGCCCUUCAGGUUUUGUGACUGGGAUGCCGAGGAUCACAAAACAAGGUGUGAAGUAACCAUGCAAAUCACUUGGUACCCUUAAUAAAUUACCCCUCAAUCGAUGUGCCGGUUAACCACACACGCUCCAUCGAUACUAUGAUAAAUAUUAAGUCACCCUUUACCUACCUUGUUAAGUCCAAGUUAGUGUGCCGGUUAACCACACACGCUCCACUAACGACUUAGACAAAGUGUAAAGUGUAAUUUCAUGGAUUAGCACCUUAUUCACAUUUUUCCUAAGUAACUAAGAUUGGGUAUUAUUAAGAGUUUAGUUACUUAGUAUUAUCAUUAAUACUUUUAAUGAAGGGAGAAUUCUAGUCCUGUCAAACCCGUUCGGCUAACGACCCUCCACCAGUCAAGCAAGCGGUGGGUGAGAGUGGACACCCAUUAAGUUGCCAUUUUAUAGGCAACAACCUUAUACCCACCUUAUAGACCGGCUUCGUGAAUGAGGCGUACUAGCGGUAAGACUGACUUUACUCUUAUACAUAUAUAUAUUAUUAACUUAUAAUAUUAUAAAGUAUAAGGGUUGAAUUUUAACUUUUAAAAUUCUAAGGGCUAACUUGGAAUUAAAGUAUUCAUACUUGAAAACUUUUCAAAUUCCAAAACUUGAGGGCAAGUUUUGAAACUAUUCAAAACUAAUUAAUUCCAUAACUUAUGUGUUUAAAGUAGUUUUAAUCCAAAAACUCUUCAAGUUCCAUAACUUGAGGACAAGUUAUGGAAGACUUUAAACUAAUAAAAGAACUAACUUUUUCUUUAUUUUAUAACUUAUGGAUUUAAUUAUGGUUACAUAUUUUUCUUUAAUGAAGUGACUCUUGAACUUCCAUAACUUGAGGACAAGUUAUGGAGUCAAAAAAAAUUAUUCAAUGACACAAGACUCUUCAUUUUGUAACCAUUGCCAACUUUUAUGAGUUUUAUGAGUCUUUAAUGUGACUCUUCAUGUAACUUGAGGACAAGUUACACAAACACAUUUUAUACUCAACUCUUAGAUUAAAAUGGAUUGAAAACAACUAUUUCACUCAACAUUUCUAUUAAUCUAAGCAACUCAUAAGAACAAGAUAAUUCAAAUCAAACUUUUUCAUGUAAUUAGUCUAAACCUUAAACUAAUACAAAACAUGAAUCUAUUGACAAUUAUCUUUGAAAAUGGAUUAGCAUGAACAUUACCACAUCAAAAACAAGUUUAUAAGUUCAAAAACAACUUAGGGUAAUGUUCCUAGUCCAUUUCUAGCCAAAAAACUCGAAAAUAUGCUGUCUGGGGGUCCAACUCGUCGAGUGCAUGAACAAACUCGGCGAGUUGGAUCGAAUUCAUCACUUUUUAGGCAUGGACUCGUCGAGUCUCCUGAUGGACUCGCCGAGUCUGAUGGCCAGACAGCACCAGAUUCGUUUUUUCAGCUUCUAUUGCAGGUAUAACAAGAAAACAAGCCUAGGCUCUGAUACCACUGUUGGGUUUUGAGCAUUCUAACACUCCUAAGUGUACAUGCAACCCUAAAUACCUUGGAUCUAUGUUUUCUCUAUUAUACAUGCAAAUAAGAACUUCCAAGGUAUUAUCCUAAUCUAGCAUACAAAACAAUGACUAUAACAAGAUAGAAUACAUACCUCUUUGAUGUAGAAAGUCUUCAUGAAGCUUGAGUGCCUAGUGCCCCAAGUGUGACACCUCAAAUGGAAUCACAAUCAUCAAAACACUUGGAAUGACUUGAGAGAAUUCUACACUCUUCAAAAUCGGCUAGCCCUUUCUUCACUAUCACUAGUGGCCGAUUUUUCCUCAAUAAUAAGAUGCUUAUAUAGUUACACAAUUAGGGUAAACUCUUAAUUGUCAUGGCUUUCCAUUUCCUUGGAUCCAUGGGUACAAAUACACCAUGGAGCAUCCAUGGACCAUCCUAUGGGUUUUAGCCCAACUUGAUUAUCCAUGGAGCAUUAGCCCACUAUACAAGUAUGGAUGAUUUACACAAUCAACCCAUAUAUUUAAUUAGUCUUCUUUUGAUCACUUAAUUAAUCCUAGAUUAAUUCUUGAUCAAUACUAAUUAAAUAAUCUUAUUAUUCUUAUUAUUAAUAUACUAGAACUUAUAAUAUAUUAAUAACCAUAAGUGUCUUAUUUCUCUCAUUAUAGUCUAUCCAAGUGCAUGAUGGUAUGCAACCCAAAUGGACCAUGCCGGGUCGGGUCAAGUCUUACCAAUUAUAGUUAUGGACUUAGACAUUAAUCCAACAGUCUCCCACUUGGAUAAGUCUAAAACUAUUAUUGCGUAUGACUUCAGGAACCAACUGGCAAUCGUAGCUCUCAAAAGCUUCUGUCGAACUCUGACCUUGUAGAUGAACUCUGACCUUUGUCAAUGACUUGUCCAUUAGAUAAGGGAUCAUAUAUUCCUCCAUUCUAGAUAUCAUAUGGACUGAGACAUGGAUUAUAAUCAUUCUCUCUGUCCAUUUGUUGUUUCCCGAUUUCCGAUUUAUGACGACUGACUAAUUGAACAAAUCAAAUCAGUCCUGGCCCGGCCGAGCACUUCCAUUUGUCAUCAUCAAAUCAUCGAGGGGCCCACAGAUAUCGCUUUUAUCCCGAAGGUAAAAGGAACGGAUAAACUUCGACUCAUAUGGCUUGUUCUACUACUUGUUGAAUCAUACACAAAGGCACGUUUUAUAGCACCGAGUUACCAAAUGCGUUUUCGUGCAAUCAAUGUACUAUCAACUCAUAGUAACAACUCAUAUCUCUAGGUUUGAAGAAUAUAAGAUAUUAUCGUCUCAUGAUCACUCGUGAUAAAAUCCAUGAAGUGAUUCCAAUGAGCGCGGGUUGAAUCCAAUACUCAGAACUUAUGAGCACUCAUGAGUGUUGUAGCCCUUUGUCCAACACCUUAGACCUCUACAAGCCAACCCAUGACAGUCUUAAUUCAUAUCUACUUCCAACAUAUGACCGACUGUGGAUGGUUUGAAUAACUUAGUCAUUCCGGAAGAAUAACCCAGUUUAUUCGGGAAGUCAAAACAUGCAAAAUGAAACACAAUAAUAAUUGAAUCCAAUAUGGUAUCAACCCUUUGAACAUAAAUAAAACACCUUUUAUUUAUCACCAUAUGAUUACACAUUAUUCAUUGUAUACUGUUUCAGCUAUCAACUUUAUUCUUGAAUUUAAAACAAUAGUUGUCCCAUGCUCCAAGCAUGUACACUAUGUUUUCUUAAACACUAGUCAUGCCACACACCAAGUAUGCAUACUAUGUUUGUCUAUGAUCUUUACUUUGUGAACUAGAUCAAUUGAACAUAACUUCAAUGAUUCUCUUUUCACACUCCCAAAUCCUUACUGCAAAUGCAAGAAUUCCAAAUUCAUGCCAUUUACUGAAAUCUGUUAGAUUCUAAACUUAUAUGCAUUGAUCCUCUUGUAAUGAUUAUGCACAAAGUCACAAAGACUUGGCAACAAUCAUUACAGAGUAUUCCAAAGGAGAUCAACUCCUUGGAAAUAUCCUUCUUGCAUUAAGUUUCCUUAAUCUUACACAGAUUGAAAAUUCUAACUUUGAAACAUUUCCAGAUUCCAUUUUGACUAUCACUUCUGAACAAGAGUUGCCUCCUUACAGAUUAUGUCAAUAUGGUCCUUCCAGAAUUAUCACUAUACUUCCAAUUGUCCUUGAGCAACCAAUCUUUGGUAAACCUUAGAUUGUCCUCGACAAUUGUUUAAUCCUUUUAGUCAUAUCCAGUUCUAAACCUUUUCCCUUCUUAAUGCCCCAGGCAUUUGGAAAAUUUUAGAACGGAUGAAUAUAGCACAUGUAAUCGAUCCUAUAUCCGAAGCAUAUGGGACACGAUUCAUGAUGUCUCACAUAAAGACUAAACCAGUCUUUUGCUAUAAUAUUUCCAUUUCAAUUUGCCAAGUUCUCAUAAUUCAGAUUAUGAAAAGGGAUGCCGUAAUCAUAAUCGAAUUUUAGAACGCAAAUAAUGGACCCAUAUACAGAAUUUCCUUAUGUUGAGCCAUUCCAACAUGAAAUUCAUAUAUAUCCUUGACUAAAUGAUUAAAACCUCACGAUCUAAGCUUAUAGAUUUGAGAUGAAGCAUAAUUUCCUCUCCCUUAAUUAUAGCAAAACAACUUUUUCCCAAUUGAAACUUUUGUUUUCUAUAAUUAACAUUGCUAACUUGCAAUACUUAUCAUAAUUAUCAUGCUCCCACUAACAUGAUGAUUAUUAGCAUAACACUUAUGCUCCCACUAGCUUUGACAUGUACUCAGAAAUCAGCUGGACUUCUAGAAAUCAAUACUUCAUUGACUUUCUUACCAAAGUUCAGAUUUCUGAUACUAGAUUGUUUUGAUAAAACUUUAUCAAAAUCAUACACCUUCCCUUAGAUAGCACACUUGUGUGUCUAAACAAUUAUGAAGAGGUAUGCCGUAAUCAUAAUGGUUAGACCUUUUUGCCACUUCUCACAAGUCCAGGUUAGUGUGCCGGUAAACCACACGCGCUCCACUAACGACUUUGAGAAUGCAAAUAUCACAAUUGCUAUCUAGCUAAAAUCUACUUAGUGAAAGUGUUUCCUCACCAUCAUUUUCAUGAAUCGGAGAGAAACCUUAUGACACUUAGAUUUAAUGGUGUAUGUGUUCUUAUCCAUGUGAAUUGUCAAAAUCAUAGUCACAAGACAAGGAUAAUGACAAAUCCAAACUCAUAUGGACUGAACUCAAUCUUAAUUUCUUGCCACCUGGCAGCUCAAGGGCCUGCCAUUGCUUCCAAGUUGUUGUGCAACAAAUUGAGAACUCUAAGAACUCAUAUGCAAAGCCAACUUUAACUGGAAUGGGCACAGAAUAUGUCAACACGAUAGGUUAUAAACCUCAAGUCGUGUGCUAGUGAAGAACUUCAGGUUUUAUUCUUGAUUAGUUCUUGAGACUUUCAAGACCUUUAAGACUCCCACUGUCCUCUUGACCUAUAAGACUCCCUUGUCAAAUAUCCAAGAGAUAGUGUGGAUUCUAAUCAAGACAAACACUUUACACAAUUGGCCUAAGUUGGUCUUUGUUUUAUCCAAAACAUCACAACUUACCAAUUUCAAAUGUACAAGAGUAGAAAACUUUUACUCUUACAUUUGACAAGUGUUUUAAACCUUCUUUAAGACAUGUCACUCAAGUUACAAUCUUGGAGUAUGACUCUAAGACUUGUAUUGGAACGAAGUAUGACUCAUCUUCUUGAUUUAACCAUUUCAACAAUUCAAGAUUCCUCUUCUUAGUCAUAAGAAUGCACUAAGAUUUCCUUAGAGAACUAAUUGUGCUAUGGUUUCUUAAUCAUUAAGAUGAUCACAAAACUGAUACUAAAGUACUCUCCCAUCUUUUCAGAUUUGAGAAACUUUUAUCCUUCUGCCUAAUUUGAUUCUUCUUAUUCGCUCUGCCAUACAUUGGAACCUUUUCCAAUGUCUCAGAAUUACACUUAAGCUUGUAAGUAUAACCAUAUUUACUGAGCUUUAGUAAAUUAUGACGAAUAAUCUUAUCGAUCUUUUGUGGUGGACUUGACCAGUGCACAAGAAUGUGUACUCGAUCCCUUAGUCCUUCACUUGACUCACAUAUACAUGUGAACAAGGAACUAGUCUUAAUUUUCCAAAGAUGAAAAGUUCUCAUUCAUCAUGCUAUACAACUUGCAUGAUUCCAAGUUUCGGUCCAAUUGAAACUUGGGUGACGAGGAUCUUUCCUUAUUUGGUAAAUUUAGACAUUACCAUAAAUGAAAGAAUCAAUUUCAUAUUUCUACCCUUGCUAUUAAUGGAAUCUUAUAAGCAACAAUUUUUUCACAAAUGUCAUUGUAAGGAUACUUAAAAUAAAUAAAAUCAAAAAUUUCCUUUUAUUUUAAAACUUUGCGGAAAAACUAUCCUUACAGUGCAAAAAGCACAUAAAAACUUUGUUGUUAUCUAUUCCUAAACAAUAUAUCAUAACUCCUAAGAAGUAGCUCAAGAAUCCGAUCUUCAAAUUAUGCGACAGAAAUCCAUCUACGCGAUCAGAUUCAGCAUAUUCUUUCUUUAAGUUCCUUCAUUUUUCUUUGAUUCUUAAAACAUCACCAUGNCCCAGUCACAUCAUGUAAUAAGAAUCUCAAAAUAGAAACUUAGUAGAGUUAGAUAGUGGACUUUACCUUAAGUAGAGUUAAACUGAUUGACUUUAACAUCCUUAGGUAAAAUUGACAGCUUCGCAACCAAUGCCCCUUCCUUUGGCAAUUUAACAUAUGGACGCUUUGGUAAUGGAACAUGGGACUAUCACAGACUUAGCCUUUCUCUUUACCAUUUGGUCAAUUGAUUUGACUAUGGCCAAUCCCUUUCCAUUGGGAAGGGAGAGCUUUAAUGGAUAUCCAAUGUCAUUAUUGCCAAUGUCCACAAGUUUUAGGAAGUUGAUCUUAGCAAAUAGAUAAGAUCAUUAAGGGUCUUGUCAUAGUCUGUUUCAUAGGAGUCCCAAAGGAACUCACUAUGUGACUUAGAAAGUGAUUGGACAUCCAACUUUCUCAAGACUUUGACACCCAACUCUCCCGGCUUGUCAAUAUGUGACUUCAUCUCCAAGAUGUGAGCACACCUAGACCUCGCCUUGCCAAUAGGGCUUGAGUGACCUUAAACUUUUCAAGAACUUGUGGGUUAAGAAAAAUAAUUUGGAGGAGGUGAAAGAAGUAUGAUUUCCAUGGGACAUCAUCUUCAUUUAGGAAAACUUGUUUCAAGAGAUUUGGGAAGAUCAUAAAUGUCUAAACCAGACAUCUUUUUGAGAGAUAUUCAAGAUAGUUGAUUUAAAUUCCUUAAUAUAACACCCAAUAUGAAAUAUUAAGGCUAGGACCCAACACAAUACUUGUAUAACUUGGAAGAGGGAUGCCGUAAUCCAAACUAUAAAAUAUUUGAAGGUAGAUGAAUGACGAUUCACCAAUUUCCACCAAGAUAAACGAAAUGUAUUAUUAGGUUUUAAUUGGUUUUGAAACUCCUAGAUCUUUGAGAUUCAUUGAACUUUUCAAUGGCAUGUUUCAAUCUCGAGUGUGCCCUUCAGGUUUUGUGACUGGGAUGCCGAGGAUCACAAAACAAGGUGUGAAGUAACCAUGCAAAUUACUUGGUACCCUUAAGUGUUUACCCCUCAAUCGAUGUGCCGGUUAACCACACACGCUCCACCGAUACUAUGAUAAACAUUAAGUUACCCUUUGCCUACCUUGUUAAAUACGAGUUAGUGUGCCGGUUAACCACACACGCUCCACUAACCGACUUAAACAAAGUGAAAAGUGUAAUUUCAUGGAUUAGCACCUUAUUCACUUUUUCCUAAGUAACUAAGAUUGGGUAUUUAUAAAAGGUUUAGUUACUUAGUAUUUAUCAUUAAUACUUUUAAUGAAGGGAGAAUUAUAGUCCUUGUCCUACACGUUCGGCUAACGACCCUCCACCAGUCAAGGAAGCGGUGGGUGAGAGUGGAC
rnacentral:lncRNA from 1 species